AUUUGCCUGUGUUGAUUUGGCUGAGUGGGGUUGGUUGUGUUGGGGCUUAUGGAAAUAGCCUGCCUCCUGCCCUUUACCACAGCCUUUUCCCUGAUGAUCCUUUACAG
rnacentral:miRNA from 1 species